GGGGGGAAGGGGAGAGGCAGCACGUGGAAAGGAGGGCCUCUCCAGUGUGGAGUUCGGGAGUCUGGUGAAUGCAACAAAAUAACGCCAGAAGACUGUGGACCACAUAGAACACAAGUGUCAAUCACAGGCCAUUCUGCUUGGAGUUCUGGAGGCUAGAAGUCUGAAAUCAAGGCAAGGUUGGUUCCUCCUGGAGGGUCUGAGGGAGAAUCUCUUCUGUGCCGCUCUCCUGACUUCUGGUGGCUCCUGGCAAUCCUUGGUGUUCCUUGACUUGUGGCUGCAUUGCUCCGAUCUCUGUCUACACCUUCACAAGACCUUUUUAUCUGUGUGUGUCUGAUCAAAGAUGCCUAUAUGAAACAUUGGAAUCCUUCAUACACAGCA